rnacentral:rRNA from 1 species
CCUACGGGGUGCAGCAGUGGGGAAUAUUGCACAAUGGGGGAAACCCUGAUGCAGCGACGCCGCGUGAGUGAAGAAGUAAUUCGGUAUGUAAAGCUCUAUCAGCAGGGAAGAAAAUGACGGUACCUGAGUAAGAAGCCCCGGCUAACUACGUACCAGCAGCCGCGGGCAUACGUAGGGGGCACGCGUUAUCCGGAUUUACUGGGUGUAAAGGGAGCGUAGACGGCGGUGCAAGUCUGGAGUGAAAGGCGGGGGCUCAACCCCCGGACUGCGCUGGAAACUAGACGGCUGGAGUGCAGGAGAGGUAAGUGGAAUGCCUAGUGUAGCGGUGAAAUGCGUAGAUAUUAGGAGGAACACCAGUGGCGAAGGCGGCUUACUGGACUGUAACUGACGUUGAGGCUCGAAAGCGUGGGGAGCAAACAGGAUUAGAUACCCGGGUAGUC